AAAUUACAAUGAACCAAUGUAGGUCAAAAACACACCAAGCACCAGAUUCGGCGGUUAAUAUAAAGAAUUUGUAACAGUUUGUUGUUCUAUGCAACCUAUAAUGGGGGUUCUGGAUCAACCAAUCCCCAGAGAAAAUUUGGCCCAGGGAACAGUUUCAGCGUCUCCUGGCCAACUUCAUUGACCAUGUUAGUUACUUGGUACAAAUGCAAGUCCCAAUUUUAAAACUCACUGAAAGAAUAAGGACCCAUAAGCACAUGAAGGACAACCAGCUGUGUGACACCAGAGACAAUGUCUUGCCCGUGAAUAAACUCCCCAGUGGCACCAAACUUGUAGGAGUCGGACUUGCAUUGUCUUGCAACAUGCCAAAAGA
rnacentral:misc_RNA from 1 species